CUCGGAGAUGUGUAUAAGAGACAGCAGCCACACAUUCAAAGAGUGCGUAAUAGCUCACUGGUCGAGUGAUCCAGCGCCGAAAAUGUAACGGGGCUAAAACGCGACACCGAAGCAGCGGGAUGCGUAAGCAUCGGUAGAGGAGCAUUGUGUGAGGGUUGAAGCCAGAGCGGGAGCACUGGUGGACUUCACAGAAGAGAGAAUGCCGGUAUGAGUAGCGAGACCCAUGCGAGAAACAUGGGCGUCGAAGGCCCAAGGUUUCCUGGGGAAGGUUCAUCCACCCAGGGUAAGUCGGGACCUAAGCCGAGGACUGAGGUCGUAGGCGAUGGACAGCAGGUAGAGAUUCCUGCACCACUUACACUUGUUUGACGAAGCAGUGACACAGAAGGAUAGGACGAGCGCGGUGAUGGUCAACCGCGUAGGCGGCACGAGGCCGGGAAGCAGUGAAGUACACUUCCCGCAAAGGCUGAGUGUUGACAGGACCGAAAAGAAGUAGGGAAGCGUCCGAGUUCACGCUGGCGAGAAAAGCUGCUAAGGAGAGUGUGAGUGCCCGUACCGGAAACCGACGCAGGUGGGCGAGGAGAGAAUCCUGAGACGGACGGGAGAACUCUUGUUAAGGAACUCGGCAAAAUGACCCCGUAACUUCGGGAGAAGGGGUGCCUCGAAAGAGGCCGCAGAGAAUAGUCACAAGCGACUGUUUAGCAAAAACACAGGUAUCUGCGAAAGCGAGAGCUGACGUAUAGGUGCUGACGCCUGCCCGGUGCUGGAAGGUUAAGGGGAAGUGUUAGGGGAAACCCGAAGCAGAGAACCGAAGCCCCAGUAAACGGCGGCCGUAACUAUAACGGUCCUAAGGUAGCGAAAUUCCUUGUCGGGUAAGUUCCGACCCGCACGAAUGGCGUAACGACUUGUGAGCUGUCUCAACAGGAGGCCCGGUGAAAUUGAAGUAUGUGUGAAGAUGCACAUUACCCGCGACUGGACGGAAAGACCCCGUAGAGCUUUACUGUAACCUGACAUUGGAUCUUGAUAACGGAUGCACAGGAUAGGUGGGACGCUGGGAGACGAGGACUUUGGUUUUCGUGGAGCGGCCGUUGGGAUACCACUCUUCUGUUAUUGAGAUUCUAACCUCAAGCCGUGAGCCGGAUGAGAGACAGUGUCAGGCGGACAGUUUGACUGGGGCGGUCGCCUCCGAAAGAGUAACGGAGGCGCCCAAAGGUACCCUCAGAAUGGAUGGAAACCAUUCGAAGAGAGCAAAGUCAGAAGGGUGCUUGACUGCGAGACCAACAAGUCGAGCAGGUACGAAAGUAGGGCUUAGUGAUCCGGCGGUAAGAGAGUGGAAUUGCCGUCGCUCAACGGAUAAAAGCUACCUCGGGGAUAACAGGCUGAUCUCCCCCAAGAGUCCACAUCGACGGGGAGGUUUGGCACCUCGAUGUCGGCUCAUCGCAUCCUGGGGCUGUAUUCGGUCCCAAGGGUUUGGCUGUUCGCCAAUUAAAGCGGCACGCGAGCUGGGUUCAGAACGUCGUGAGACAGUUCGGUCCCUAUCCAUCGUGGGCGAAGGACACAUGAGAGGAGCUGCUCCUAGUACGAGAGGACCGGAGUGGACGCAUCACUGGUGCAACUGUUGUCGUGCCAACGGCACAGCAGGGAAGCGAAAUGCGGACGGGAUAAACGCUGAAGGCAUCUAAGCGUGAAGCCCACCUCAAGAAUAAGUGUCCCAUUCGAAAGAAGUAAGACCCCUGGAAGACUACCAGGUGAUAGGUCAUCGGUGAAAGAGUGGUAACAUUUGGAGCUUGAUGAUACUAAUCGGUCGAGGACUUGAUCUA
rnacentral:rRNA from 1 species